AUGAAUGCUGGCGGCGUGCCUAAUACAUGCAAGUCGAGCGGUAACAGGGCUUCACGUUCCUUGACUCACCUAGCGCAUUAUCGUAGGUGGAGAGAUUCGAGGGAACAGUGAAGCUGCUGACGAGCGGCGGACGGCUGAGUAACGCGUGGGAACGGACCCCAAACUGAGGGAUAACUAGUCGAAAGAUUAGCUAAUACUGCAUAUGGUCUUCGGAUUAAAGGAUUUAUCCGGUUUGGGACUGGCCUGCGUACGAUUAGAUAGUUGGUAGGGUAAUGGCCUACCAAGUCAACGAUCGUUAGAUGGUUUGAGAAGAUGAUCAUCCAGACUGGGACUGAGACACGGCCCAGACUCCUACGGGAGGCAGCAGUAGGGAAUCUUUCACAAUGGGCGAAAGCCUGAAUGGAGCAACGCCGCGUGCAGGAUGGCGGCCUUCGGGUUGUAAACUGCUUUUAUAAGCGAGAAAUAUGAUGGUAACUUAUGAAUAAGGACCGGCUAACUACGUGCCAGCCGCUGC
rnacentral:rRNA from 1 species